rnacentral:lncRNA from 1 species
CUAUAGAAUUUAGAAAAAUCGAAAAAGUAAGUAAACAUUCCCUUUUGUAAUGUUUUGAACCAAUUGAUUUGUCUACUGAAUUCGAAAAUAAAAAUAAAUAAAUAAAAAAAAAAGUCCUUUUUUUUUUUUAUUUGAAAACGGAAUCAAGACAAACUAGAAAGUUUCACCUUUCUUUUUAUUUUACUAUUUUUUUAUUCCCAGGAUGGGGAUUCUUAUUUUCCCCAUCACCCCACCAUAAACAAUAAGAAUUUUUUUUUUUUAUUUUCUAUAAUACGUGCAGCCCAAUACCUAAUUGAUUUGAUCAAUCCUAGGACAAAUUAAUAGUGAAAAAAAAAAAAGAAAAAACCUAAAAUUACGACAACACAAACACAAAAGUUCUAAAAAAUGAAAAAAAAAAAGAAAGAAACCCUUUUUGAGUUGUUCCCUGGAGUGAAGUUAGAACUAUUUAGUUACAACCAUUACAAGGUUCUAGUUUAUCAAAGAAGAAACUCUGAAAGUUAAGUUAAAUAAAACUGAAACCUUAAAUAAUUAAAUACAACAACAAAAGAAGGGGCGGAAUCUUUAAAUAGCCCUUUCAAUGUUUUUUGUUUUUAGUAAACAUUCAAAUUUCAAAUUGAUGAAUAAAAAUCCAUUAAAAU